GACGAACGCUGGCGGCGUGCCUAAUACAUGCAAGUCGAACGCAGAAAGGGGAACUUGCUUCUCUGGAUGAGUUGCGAACAGGUGAGUAACACAUAUGUAACCUGCCUGUUAGAGAGGGAUAACUAUUGGAAACGAUAGCUAAAACCGCGGAAUAUCAGUUGUUCCAUGACAACUAUUUGAAAAAUACAAUUUCACCACUACCAAAUGGACGUGCGGUGCAUUAGGUAGUUGGUGGGGUAACAGCUCACCAAGGCGACGAUUCAUAGCCGACCUGAGGUGGGGGUCGGCCCCCCUGGGACUUAGACCCGGCCCAGACCCCUUAGGGAGGGAGCCGUAGGGAAUCCUUGGGAAUUGGGGGAAGUCCUGCCGAGGCACGCCGCGGUAGUGGAGAAGGUUCUUGGAUUCUAAAGCCUUGUUUUAAGGGAAGAAAGAGUGUGGGAGUGGAAAGUGCACGCUGUGACGGUAUCUUAUCAGAAAGCGACGGCUAACUACGUG
rnacentral:rRNA from 1 species